rnacentral:rRNA from 1 species
ACCUCCGUACGGGAGGCAGCAGGUGGGGAAUAUUGCACGAAUGGGCGCAAGCCUGAUGCAGCCAUGCCGCGUGUAUGAAGAAGGGCCUUCGGGUUGAUAAAGUACUUUCAGCAGUGAGGAAGGUGGGUAUGUUAAUAGCAUAUUCAUUUGACGUUAGCUGCAGAAGAAGCACCGGCUAACUCCGUGCCAGCAGCCGCGGUAAUACGGAGGGUGCGAGCGUUAAUCGGAAUUACUGGGCGUAAAGCGCAUGCAGGUGGUUUGUUAAGUCAGAUGUGAAAGCCCGGGGCUCAACCUCGGAAUUGCAUUUGAAACUGGCAAACUAGAGUACUGUAGAGGGGGGUAGAAUUUCAGGUGUAGCGGUGAAAUGCGUAGAGAUCUGAAGGAAUACCGGUGGCGAAGGCGGCCCCCCUGGAUAGAUACUGACAC